CCUGAGGGUACCCGGAAAGACUCUGAACUUGGGGGAUGUGUCACUUGGGGAAGGAUCCAGUAUUGAAUCUGACUUACUGCCUGCAGCUCCAGUGAGCUAGGGGCUCCUACCUUGAGCCUGACUUCCCUCAAGCCCGCUCAUCCUCCAAUCCCAUGUCUUUUCAAUUCAGGAACAUCCAUCUAGGGCCUGAUGUGAGCAAGCAUUUAUCUCCUAAGCCUUUUCAACACUUCUGGAUAUAGGCAACAGGACCUGAGGAAGCCCCCACCCCAUGAUGACAGAGUGUUGGCACUUCCCUCCUGUGUGCCCCACGGCUGUGGAGCAGCACCAGGGACUUUCUGUUCUGUGGGCUCUGGCCUUCACUAUGCUUGGCACAGCCCCCAAGACUUCAUCCUGACGUGCUAUCCCAGCCCAGUAUUCACAGCUGCUUCAUGAGAAAGCGAAGGGAAGACCAGUUCCUUAAAUAAGGUGUCUAACAUUUACGUUUCUUGUGUGUGUGUGUGUGUGUGUGUGUGUGUGUGUGUGUUUGUGUGUCUCUGUGUGUGUGCCCCAUGUGCAAAGUGGGCUGUGAAGUCCAGAAGUGGACAUUGGAUCCCCUGGAGUCGUUGUGAGCUGUGAACCCUGAGUGUUAGGAACCAGACUUGCGUCCUCUGCAAGAGGAAUACUUUCUCUUAACUGCUGAGCCAUGCCUCUCUCCAGCCCUGAAAAUGAGUCCCCAAGCCUGUGCCCACUUCCAUAGCCUUGCUUAGUAUGUGUAAGCAUGUACAUACCAUGGUACAGGGAUUCUGUGUGGGAAUACAUGUGUGUGUUCACCACUCACUCUUGAGUGAACUCAGACAGCUGAAGAAUAGUGCUUGGGAAGAAGCAGCUUCUGAAGAAAGUCAGAGCUUGCCAUAGUGCUGCUGGCGCUGUACGGUGGAGUGCUGGGAGAUUAAACCACUUUAGGUCACCACCCACCUGACCCCAUGUGAUUAUGACAGCUAAUUUACCUCACUUGUGUAAUCCUUGUGAGAAUUUUCACCACCCACCUACCCCAUGUGAUUAUGACAGCUAAUUUACUUCACUUGUUUAAUUCUUAUGAGAAUUUAGCAAGAAAAUCCAUUUAAGAACAUUAUACCUUACAGAUACAUCUAUGUAUCAUCCAUUGU